ACUUUGUACUGCAAUGAAUUUCGGGUUCUUCGUAGGUUCCUAGCGGGUGUGACUUUGCUUCAAUCCUGGAUGACAGCGACAUCAACUGUACGGUGGUUAGCUAUAUCCAAUAAGCGGUAGACAUUUGUGCAAAAGGGAGGUGUGGAAAGAUGUUUGGCUAGCCUUAGUACAAUCAUACUUUAUACUGCAAUCAACUUUGGGGUUUCCGCAGGUUCCUAGCGGGUGUGACUCUGCUAUAAACCUAGAUAAUCCUGAACUUAACUGUCCUCUGGAUAAUGACUUAUGGCUAUUAAGUUUCCUAAGAAUGGCUCACUUUUAUCCUGAAGGGGCCUUGCAAAAGAUACGCAAUUAUUUCGAUUUUCGUCAAAAAUAUCCUGAGCUGUUUAAAGAUUUAAAUUUGGUAAU